GCGUGCCAACGUCGGCGACUUCCCACUCUGCUUUAAGAACCCCAACGGCGUUCAGGCGCUCCGACGAAAGCGAAACCUCCUCCUCCCUCCUCUAUUUCUUUUCAUCGACUGUCGACGAAUUCAUACCCUUGCCCAUCAUGCGGUUCUUUCUCCCCUUGAUCUCCAGUUCAUGGGCGAAGAACCGACCUCCAGCUCCCCACUGAAGGAAGAGGCGGACAGUCGACGAGCGGUGGUCUCCGGACCCCUCGCUUACUCCGGUGAGUCCUUGCAUUUCUUUAACAACUUUGGUGACUUCAAGUCCUCUCUGAAGGGAAUCGGGGAAUCUGAGUCCUUCUCGAGGGGUAUCGCUGCAUUGGAUACUAUUUUGGGGAUCAAGAAGCCUCCAAGGUUCCCUGAGGAUCUUGACGAUGCCUCUGCCUCGCUAGCUGUCCUCGAGGACGAGUUUCUUUGUCGUCUUGCGAUCUCUAUGGACGAGUUCAAGAGGUCGAGGGAGGAAAAGGAAGCAGAGGGUGCGAAAGAUGAGACCGUCUCUGCAUCAGGCUCUUCUGUCAAUGUGACCACGAAGGAUAAGAGGAUGAUAGCGGUUCCUCCGAGGGUACCAUUUCACAUUCCCACCAUUCCGCGUCCACAGGACGUAUAUAAAAUACGAGUGAAUAACAAUAACCUGCCGUUUGAUCAUGUGUGGUUGGACACGGGCGAUGGAAAUAUGAUUCAUCCACUGCUGAAGUUAUCUGUUGCAGACUUUGUUGAUAGAAAAUCUGAAAGUGAACCGGUAGAACCGCUUCAUCUCGAGUCUACCCCAUUUAAGCUGGUGGAAACUUGGAAUGACUUCGAAAUGGUAGUUGCUAAGCUUCGGCAUGUAGAUGAAUUGGCGGUGGAUUUAGAACACAAUCAUUACAGAUCAUUUCAGGGGCUAACCUGUCUGAUGCAAAUAUCUACAAGAGAUGAAGACUUUGUAAUUGACACCCUCAAGUUACGAAUAUAUAUUGGAAUGUACUUGAGGGAAAUUUUCAAGGACCCUUCCAAGAGAAAGGUAAUGCAUGGGGCUGAUCGUGACAUCAUAUGGUUGCAACGGGAUUUUGGCAUAUAUAUAUGCAACCUUUUUGAUACUGGACAGGCAUCAAGGGUAUUGCAAAUGGAAAGAAAUAGUUUGGAGUAUCUUUUGCGUCACUUCUGUGGAGUUGAGGCAAACAAGGACUACCAGACUGCUGAUUGGAGAUUACGCCCUAUUCCACAUGAAAUGCUCAAGUAUGCUAGAGAAGAUACACAUUACCUUCUAUAUAUAUAUGACCAUAUGAAAAGAAUAUUGUUAGCUGAAUCCUCAGAUGGAAAUGAUCUUAUAUUGGAGGUCUACAAGCGUAGUAGUACAAUCUGCUUGCAACUUUACAAGAAAGAAAUUUUUACUAAUACAUCAUUUCUUAACAUUUAUGGGUUGCGAGAUGCUGAUUUAAAUGCUACGCAGCUUGCUGUUGUUUCUGCUCUUUAUCAGUGGAGAGACUAUAUUGCACGUGAACAGGAUGAGAGUACUGGCUACAUAUUACCCAAUAAAACCCUAAUUGAGAUUGAUGCCUCCUCUUCCUGGAGCAUUGAUUCCGCUGGUGAUGUUUAAACACCCAGUAGUUGAACAGCAUCUGAGUACAGUCAUUGAAAUUAUAAAGAAUUCAAUCGGUAAUGCUUUUUCUUUUGAGAUGAUCGCAAGACAACUAAAGCUGGAGCGAAUCGAAGCACAAGUGGAGCAAAUUAGACAGAUGCGGCUUCGAGCUUCCUCUCCUUCAGGCAACAUAAGGAUGCCAUACCAUUGAUGUUUUCCCCUUCUACUAAAUGGCUUUUAUGUUCUUCUUAAGCCAUGGUACAAUUGAGGCCUGAUUAAUUCUGCAAGCAAUCAUCAAGAUUGAUAACAUUUUCUGAUGCACUUUUGUGUUAGUGGCUUUUUCUGUAUUGGUAUAGACCUUUAUUUUUCAUUAGCUUGAUUGUUGUACAGAGACACUAACUGUGAAAUGAAACAGAUUGGUUGGGGCAAAAA